AAAAAGGCAAACCGUGGGUUCCCGUGCCAACGUUUGACUGUCCGUCUUAUAUGAAAUUUUUUUAUAAUUAGUAUUUUCAUUGUUGUUAGAUGAUAAAACAUGAUUAAUACUUUAUGCGUGACUUAUCUUUUUAAUUUUUUCAUAAUUUUUUCAAAUAAGACGGAUGGUCAAACGUUGGACACGGAAACCAGGGUUUGUCUUUUU
rnacentral:pre_miRNA from 1 species